UACGGAGGGGGCGAGCGUUAUUCGGAAUUAUUGGGCGUAAAGGGCGCGUAGGCGGCUUGACAAGUCAAAGGUGAAAUCCCUCGGCUCAACUGAGGAACUGCCUUUGAAACUGUCUGGCUUGAGGCCGGGAGGGGGUAGCGGAAUUCCCAGUGUAGCGGUGAAAUGCGUAGAUAUUGGGAGGAACACCAGUGGCGAAGGCGGCUACCUGGACCGGCAUUGACGCUGAGGCGCGAAAGCCAGGGGAGCAAACGGG
rnacentral:rRNA from 1 species